rnacentral:rRNA from 1 species
GACGAACGCUGGCGGCGUGCUUAACACAUGCAAGUCGAACGGAAAGGCCCUGCUUUUGUGGGGUGCUCGAGUGGCGAACGGGUGAGUAACACGUGAGUAACCUGCCCUUGACUUUGGGAUAACUUCAGGAAACUGGGGCUAAUACCGGAUAGGAGCUCCUGCUGCAUGGUGGGGGUUGGAAAGUUUCGGCGGUUGGGGAUGGACUCGCGGCUUAUCAGCUUGUUGGUGGGGUAGUGGCUUACCAAGGCUUUGACGGGUAGCCGGCCUGAGAGGGUGACCGGCCACAUUGGGACUGAGAUACGGCCCAGACUCCUACGGGAGGCAGCAGUGGGGAAUAUUGCAAAAUGGGCGGAAGCCUGAUGCAGCAACGCCGAGUGCGGGAUGACGGCCUUCGGGUUGUAAACCGCUUUCGCCUGUGACGAAGCGUGAGUGACGGUAAUGGGUAAAGAAGCACCGGCUAACUACGUG